rnacentral:rRNA from 1 species
UGGGGAAUAUUGCGCAAUGGGCGAAAGCCUGACGCAGCAACGCCGUGUGAGGGAUGAAGGCUUUCGGGUCGUAAACCUCUGUCGGAAGGGAAGAACGGGCAUUGGUCUAAUAGGCCUUUGUUUUGACGGUACCUUUAGAGGAAGCACCGGCUAACUCCGUGCCAGCAGCCGCGGUAAUACGGAGGGUGCAAGCGUUAUUCGGAAUUACUGGGCGUAAAGCGCACGUAGGCGGCUUCGUAAGUCAGGGGUGAAAUCCCACGGCUCAACCGUGGAACUGCCUUUGAAACUGCAAAGCUUGAAUCCUGGAGAGGGUGGCGGAAUUGCUGGUGUAGGAGUGAAAUCCGUAGAUAUCAGGAGGAACACCGGUGGCGAAGGCGGCCACAUGGACAGGUAUUGACGCUGAGGUGCGAAAGCGUGGGGAUCAAACA